CUCUCUCUCUCAUACACACACACACAAAUACACACACACUCACAUACACACUCUCUGACUCUCUCUCUCUCUCUCUCAUACACACACACACAAAUACACACACACACACACAGUUUCCACUCAGUUUUCGAUCAAUUCAGCAUUAGGUGACAAAUACAUGAUCAUGGACAGAGCAAAGUCGCAUAUAUGACAAGGUGUAUAAGAAGAUAUAAGGGAAAACAUGUGCAUAACGUUUGCACUAGUGUAAAGGAAGACAUCAGACCGAAAUUAAGUUCAGGGCCAUGAAAAGAAACCUGGAGGAGGAGGAGCUGGGCAAGGGAUGAAGGUCAGAUUUUGGCACGGUGUCUCUUCCCAGCAUGAAAUACAGCUGCAGAGAAAACCGCAUGCGAGCACAGGGAGAAAAUGCAGAGAAACCCCACACAGACAGUAAGCCGAGAUCAGGAAAGAACCUGGAACUGUGAGGCGGCAACACAUCCCGCUGUGACAUCAUGCUGCCCUAACUGUUACCAAUUGACUGAGUGAGCAAGCAUGGAAGAAGUGGGGCGAUGCUAAUAUUUCAGUCAUAUGAAAUGCCGCAACAUUUGAGGUCAGGAUUGUGCUGGAGUCUAUCCUUGGAACACUGAGCAUGAGGCAGGAAUGCAGCCUGGAUAGGAUGCCAUUGCAGGACACCAUGUACACGCAUUGACACACUCAGUCACACCUAAGGGCAGUUUAGCAUAGCCAAUCCACCUAAUGGUAUGUUUCUGGGAGGUGGGAGGAAACCAGAGAACCCAGAGGAAUCCUAUGUGGACCUGAGUAUAUCAAGUGAAACUCCACACAGUAUCCUGAGCUCAAAACCCUGCUUUUACAUAAUGGACAGACACCAAAUCAACAUGCUAAAGGUCAAGCAAACUAUUCAGUGUAUAUUUUUUGAAUUCUUCAAUAAUUUCUUUAAUAAAGCAUUGAUGGGAUUGAUUGUUAGGCAGUUUUUCUGCUGCUUUGUCUGAUUCUGAAGACUUCUGAUUCUGAAGAAAUUCUGAAGCAUUCACUUCAGAAGCAAUUGUUUGGGGCAUUAAUAUAGAGUAGGUACAUACUGUCUGCAAUAGGUAUGCCACAGAGUGAAGCCAUAAAGGUGAAGUUUUACAAGCAUAGCUUAGCUUGGUUAAGCUUGGUUGUUUACUUUUGUAUCAAAGGACCAUCACACCAGGACUAAUUCCGCUAGCUAGUAAUCUCUCACCAGCUCACAUUUCCCUGUAAGAAGAUUACUACCUUUCCUCAGUAUAAAACAUUGAAAGCUGUGGGAUACUAAUGGGAUACUGUGGGAUACUACUGUAUAUUUCUGAACACUUCACUGCAUCUGCUAGCAAAUGUGUUGGUGCCACAGAGGAUAAUAAACAAACAAUAAACAAAUAAUUUCCCAUUGUAUAUCUCACUAUCACAUGGAAGGAUCUUUGUGGUUGAAAAUGAUUGUGCCAUUUAUUGUGCCAUACGGCAUCACUUUAAAGAAGCGUUGUUAUGAUUGUAGCUGGUGGGUUAAAAUAUGCAGUACAGUAUUACACAGGAUUGGGAAACACUGACUUGAUGCUUGUUUGUUUGUUCGUCUGUAAUAAAAUCUGAAGCAAAGUGAUUUUAUUUUAAGCAAACCUUUGAUAUAAGAAGUAUAUUACUAACAAGAGUCACAUGCCACUUUUCCCUAAAAUUUCAUUAAAAUGCAGCAAUGAAAUGUGUCUGUAUUAUUCAUCACUCUUUGUGAAAUUAAAUAUGU